AGCGGACGCUGGCGGCAGGCCUAACACAUGCAAGUCGAACGAACCCUUCGGGGUUAGUGGCGGACGGGUGAGUAACACGUGGGAACGUGCCUUUAGGUUCGGAAUAACUCAGGGAAACUUGUGCUAAUACCGAAUGUGCCCUUCGGGGGAAAGAUUUAUCGCCUUUAGAGCGGCCCGCGUCUGAUUAGCUAGUUGGUGAGGUAACGGCUCACCAAGGCUACGAUCAGUAGCUGGUCUGAGAGGAUGACCAGCCACAUUGGGACUGAGACACGGCCCAAACUCCUACGGGAGGCAGCAGUGGGGAAUCUUGCGCAAUGGGCGAAAGCCUGACGCAGCCAUGCCGCGUGGAUGAUGAAGGUCUUAGGAUUGUAAAAUCCUUUCACCGGUGAAGAUAAUGACUGUAGCCGGAGAAGAAGCCCCGGCUAACUUCGUGCCAGCAGCCGCCGUAACAC
rnacentral:rRNA from 1 species